AGUAUGUAUGUUUAAGGAAAAAAAAAAGUAGAAGUGAAAGUUAUUAAAGGGUGGUUAUUGGUUAUUUUUUUUUAAUUGAGUGAUAUGGGUAGUUAUGAAUAAAAAGGGUGGUUAUUGGUUAUUUUUUUUUAAAAAAAAGGGCUAGAUUUUUGUUUUUGGAGGAAAGAAGGGCUAGAUAUUAAUUGAGUGAUAUCAGUAGUUAUGAGAAAAAUGGUGGUUAUUGGUUAUUUUUUUAUAAAGAUAAAAUAUAAAAAUAGAAGUGCUAGAAUUGCAAGGAUGAGUAUUUGAAGUGCUGUGAAUGAAAGUUGCAAAAACAACUCUUAAAUUAUAUAAAAGAUUUCUUUAAUUCUUUCAUUAAACUUAUACUUCAUCUUUUAUGCACACUUCAUCCCUUCAUCUUUAUCUUUCUUCUUUAUUUCAACCUUUUCCUAUUCUCUCUUUAAUUUUAGCCCCCGCCACCUUCUAUUUAAGCCUCUUUUUCAAUUAAAGUUCCAAAAUUUGAAUUUCCUUAACCAUGUUUUCGAUUACAUAUUAUACCCAUAAUGACUUAUUGAUAUUUCCUCACUCAUCUCUCAAUGCAAUUUUAUAUGAAUAACCCGUGCAUUACAUCGGCCAAAAGGCUAGUUCUUAAAUAGGUUUUUUUUUUUUUUUUUUUUUUUUUUUUUUUUUUUUUUUUUUUGAAAGUAGACUAUUUGAAAGUUAUCAAAUAGUUAGUGGUAGAAAAUUUAAAUCAAAAUCGCACAUCAUCAUCAUAAAUUAAAAAGUAGACUUCAUUUUAGGCUUUUUGUAGAAUCCAAAAUCCGAAAGAUAAUAAAUACCACAAGGAAUCAAUUAAGGAAUCUUCAUCAUCAAUGUAGUAUCUAGAAACUCUAUAUUUGAGAAAAAAAAAAAAAAAAAAAAUUCGUACCACUAUCUUUAAUUAUAACCCAGAACAAUUUUACAAAUCUCCACUCUCAAGUAAAACCCAACUCAAAUUUUUUAUUUUUUAGUUUUUAGUUUUUGUAAUUUUUGUUGUUUGUAGUGGAGUUAAUCGGGUUGCGGAUCUGUCAUGAAAGAUACUGUCAAAAGAUAUCUUUUUCAAUCCUUCUUACCGUAUAUCCCUUGGUCCCAAAAGGCUACCCAAUUUCACCCUUUUUUCAUCUCAAAUUUCCAGAAAAAGUAGAGGAAUUAAGGGUCUAUUAACGGGUAUUUUUUUUUAAUUUUGUACUUUUGGUGAUUUUUUAAAAUAAAAAAAUAAAUUUUGAGUGAUUUUGGUUCGAAUUUAUAUUGUGGAAGAAGAAGGGGAGCAAGAAUGUUGGAAUUGAGAGAUUACACUUGCUUCCCACCUUUAAUUGUUGUUGUUUAUGCUACCCUUGCUUGUGUUGAUGCGACUAUUGCUGUGAUUGCAUUUUUUCAGUUGGUGAGGAUCCACUCUAGAAGUGCGCAACUUGGUUGGACCCGGCAAAAGGUCUUUCAUCUCAUGAUUGGUCUUUGCAAUUUGGGGUAUGUUGUUUUCUUUGUAUUAACUCUCGUCGCUACUUGCAAAGGAUGGUCAUGCUGGUCAAGCUCCUGCGGCUUUGUGUUCAUGGCCUUCCCUAAGAUCCUUUUAUUUGCAGCAUUUCUUCUGCUUCUGUCAUACUGGGUGGAUCUUUGCCAUCAAGCUGAUGAUGAAGAGGAUGAGGGAGACAGUAGUUCUUGUGAAGCUUUGUUGGAUAAGACCACCAGUAAGCCACCUUUAUCAAACAUUGAUGGUAACAAAAAUUGUCUACCUGUUCCAUCACUUCAUGUUGGAAGCCGCCAAAGAUUUGUUAUUUUGAUCAUGGUCGUAGUUCUUGUUCUAAUGACUGCCUUUGCUGUGCUAAUUUGGAUUGGGAUGGGAAGGAAUCCAAUUGAUUCAUCAACUGUUGCUCGGGUCUAUGUGGAUAUUUUUGCAGUCGGCACAUUUUUGCUGGGAGGGGCAUUGGCAUGUUAUGGACUCCUAAUAUAUCUGAAAAUGAGCAAAGUAAGAUCUGAAGGUGCUUCAUCUGAGAUGUGGAAGGUCACUGGUCUUGCCGUUGUUUCUCUUGUGUGUUUCACAACAAGUGCUCUUGUAGCUCUUCUUACUGAUGUUCCGGUUCUUUAUCGUUGGCGCCAAGAGCACAUUAGUGUGUAUUGUACUGGUAUCUUAUUGAUGUUGUACUAUUUUAUAGCUCUUGCAUGCAGGUUCAUCAGCACCCGCAGCCUUUGUAUUGUGGGUCAUGAGAGAGCUACCACCUUCUAGGGUGGCCGAUAGAGCUGAAGAAUCAACAAUAGUAACCUUCAUUAGUGAUGGAUCAACAGGAGUAGAUAAUCCUCAACGCUGGACUGCAGUAACAAGCUUGCAAAAUCAGGGUUCAAAAGCAAGUCCCAUCUAAUGUAGUGGUCUGAAACAUACCUGGAUGAAAUUUCUUGGCCAGAAUAUUGCACUUCACUAGCAAAAGGUUGGGCAAUUUGACAUUUUGAGUUUUGCAAGAAACUGGUUUUAUCGUAUCGUGUGGUGCUUACUCAACAACCAGAGUUAUACCCCUGUAAUUCAAUUGUUUUUCUUUGAAAUAUCUGUACAUAGUAGAUCCACUCUUCUGAUCCUCAAAGGGAGGGUUGGAGGAUGCUGGAAGGUAGCCAACCUCUCUCUUGACCUAGAAAAUUGUGAAAUUUUGUAGCUCAGCUCGGUGAAACCUGUCACUAUGGCGAGUAUAAUCAUAGUUUACAUGCAUCUAUAAAGAAAUUGUCACAUUGUCCUAACCUGUUAAAUUAAAGAUUACUAUAAUUUUUGUAAGAUAUACUUUCUAACAGUUCACUUCCAUUA